rnacentral:rRNA from 1 species
AUUGAACGCUGGCGGCAGGCUUAACACAUGCAAGUCGAGCGGGGUGAUGGUGCUUGCACUAUCACUUAGCGGCGGACGGGUGAGUAAUGCUUAGGAAUCUGCCUAUUGGUGGGGGACAACAUCUCGAAAGGGAUGCUAAUACCGCAUACGUCCUACGGGAGAAAGCAGGGGAUCACUUGUGACCUUGCGCUAAUAGAUGAGCCUAAGUCGGAUUAGCUAGUUGGUGGGGUAAAGGCCUACCAAGGCGACGAUCUGUAGCGGGUCUGAGAGGAUGAUCCGCCACACUGGGACUGAGACACAGCACAGACGCCUACGGGAGGCAGCAGUGGGGAAUAUUGGACAAUGGGGGGAACCCUGAUCCAGCCAUGCCGCGUGUGUGAAGAAGGCCUUAUGGUUGUAAAGCACUUUAAGCGAGGAGGAGGCUCUUUUGGUUAAUACCCAAGAUGAGUGGACGUUACUCGCAGAAUAAGCACCGGCUAACUCUGUGCCAGCCGCCGCCGUAA